rnacentral:ncRNA from 2 species
UAUCUUUGCAUGUGCGAUAGAUCCCCCGUUUGAGGGAUUAAAAAGGGGAGUGGGCGUAAUCCCUGAGCGGUAUCGCCGCAGUAAUCGGCAUUGGCCAGCGUGAACUACGGUCGCUGAGCGUUAUCGGUAAGACUCAUGACGCGGACCGUAAGUCAGAAGGCCUGCCAUUGUGAACGCCAUUUC